CGGGUGAGUAACACUUUGGUAACCUGCCGAGAAGCGGGGGACAACAUUUGGAAACAGAUGCUAAUACCGCAUAACAACGUUGUUCGCAUGAACAACGCUUAAAAGAUGGCUUCUCGCUAUCACUUCUGGAUGGACCUGCGGUGCAUUAGCUUGUUGGUGGGGUAACGGCCUACCAAGGCGAUGAUGCAUAGCCGAGUUGAGAGACUGAUCGGCCACAAUGGGACUGAGACACGGCCCAUACUCCUACGGGAGGCAGCAGUAGGGAAUCUUCCACAAUGGGCGCAAGCCUGAUGGAGCAACACCGCGUGAGUGAAGAAGGGUUUCGGCUCGUAAAGCUCUGUUGUUAAAGAAGAACACGUAUGAGAGUAACUGUUCAUACGUUGACGGUAUUUAACCAGAAAGUCACGGCUAACUACGUGCCAGCAGCCGCGGUAAUACGUAGGUGGCAAGCGUUAUCCGGAUUUAUUGGGCGUAAAGAGAGUGCAGGCGGUUUUCUAAGUCUGAUGUGAAAGCCUUCGGCUUAACCGGAGAAGUGCAUCGGAAACUGGAUAACUUGAGUGCAGAAGAGGGUAGUGGAACUCCAUGUGUAGCGGUGGAAUGCGUAGAUAUAUGGAAGAACACCAGUGGCGAAGGCGGCUACCUGGUCUGCAACUGACGCUGAGACUCGAAAGCAUGGGUAGCGAACAGGAUUAGAUACCCUGGUAGUCCAUGCCGUAAACGAUGAGUGCUAGGUGUUGGAGGGUUUCCGCCCUUCAGUGCCGGAGCUAACGCAUUAAGCACUCCGCCUGGGGAGUACGACCGCAAGGUUGAAACUCAAAGGAAUUGACGGGGGCCCGCACAAGCGGUGGAGCAUGUGGUUUAAUUCGCGGCUACGCGAAGAACCUUACCAGGUCUUGACAUCUUGCGCCAACCCUAGAAAUAGGGCGUUUCCUUCGGGAACGCAAUGACAGGUGGUGCAUGGUCGUCGUCAGCUC
rnacentral:rRNA from 2 species